rnacentral:rRNA from 1 species
AGCGAACGCUGGCGGCGUGCUUAACACAUGCAAGUCGAGCGAGAAAGGGGGCUUCGGCCCCUGAGUACAGCGGCGAACGGGUGCGUAAUGCAUGAGCAAUCUACCCUUGAGGCGGGAAUAACCCAGCGAAAGUUGGGCUAAUACCGGAUAAGACCACAAGAGGAGACCCUAGAGGCUAAAGGCAGCUCUCUUUUGGGGGCGGCCCUUUGAGGAGGAGCUCAUGUCCUAUCAGCUAGUUGGUAGGGUAACGGCCUACCAAGGCGAAGACGGGUAGCUGGUCUUAGAGGAUGAUCAGCCACACGGGGACUGAGACACGGCCCCGACUCCUACGGGAGGCAGCAGUGGGGAAUAUUGGACAAUGGGCGAAAGCCUGAUCCAGCAAUGCCGCGUGUGUGAAGAAGGCCUGCGGGUU